AUGUCUUGUAGUAUAUACCCCAUAUUACAGUAAACUGCAACUUUACUAAAGCCAUUGCCAAGACAUA
rnacentral:tRNA from 1 species